ACGAGGGGGGCAAGCGUUGUUCGGAUUUAUUGGGCGUAAAGGGUGCGUAGGCGGUUUGGCAAGUCUUAUGUGAAAUCUUCGGGCUCAACCCGAAGCCUGCAUAAGAAACUGCCGGGCUUGAGUAUGGGAGAGGUGAGUGGAAUUUCCGGUGUAGCGGUGAAAUGCGUAGAUAUCGGGAGGAACACCUGUGGCGAAAGCGGCUCUCUGGACCACAACUGACGCUGAGGCGCGAAAGCUAGGGGAGCAAACAGGA
rnacentral:rRNA from 1 species